AUGGCGGCGCCGGCGAGGGGACGGACGGUGGGCAAGGACGAAGACGCGUGCGUCGUCUUCCAGGCCGGCCUCGCCUCCGCCCCGCUGGAACAGGAACUGGAAGCAAGCCGCCGGGUCGUGUCAGACAGCCCGUUUGCAGCUAAGAAGCUAAGCCUGGACCUCAUCUGCACGCAUCAAGGUGCAGGCACGCACGCCCAUCCGACGAUGUACGCCGCCCUCAGCACGGCGCAAUGGGUGGUGGGCAAGGCGCUGGCCCCCGUAGCGGAUGGUGUGCUCGGGGCUUGGGCAGCCGCCAGGAACUUUGGUCCCACUGUCGAGGCCCUCAGCACGGAAUUGUUGCUCGUGAAGGCCACGCUCGAGCAGGCUGCCCUCAAGGAGCUCAGUGGCCCCGCCAUGGAGAUGCUGCUGCAGAAGCUGCGGAAUUUGGCGCACAGUGCCGAAGAUUUGCUGGACGAGCUGGACUACUUCCGCAUCCACGAUGAGCUGCACAGCACAUAUGAUGCAGCAGAUCACCAUGGCGAGGGUGGCGUCCACGACCUUGCCCUCAAUGCUCGCCACACGGCCAAAGCUGUUGGCAAAAUGGUCAACUGUUGCCCUUGGCAGCGUGCUAAGCACACACAGAGGACACACGACGAUUCCUCUUUGGCCCCAAACACCAAUCGGAAGCUCAGCAGAUGCAUGUCCAACCUCGGUAAACUUCUCCCUUGCUCAUCUUCCCCACAUACACAUGUUAGUCAUGAAGAUCAUGGCAAUGCACAAGAUACCCCAGACCUUGAGUUUAAUAGGGUUGAUUUCUCUGAAAAGAUGAAGACCAUCAUAGAAAAACUGCAGCUUAUGCGCAAUGAGGUUAACAAGAUUCUACAGGGUUGUGGCCCUAGAAUUGUCCUAGACAUUGCCCAGAGUCGUCCCAUCACCAGUGCUAAGAGUACAGAGCCAAAACUAUAUGGAAGGGACAUUGUCAUGAAUAGCAUCAUACAUGAUAUCACCAAGGGUCAAUACUGUAACAAGGGUCUAACAGUGCUUCCAGUUGUUGGUCCAGGGGGAAUGGGGAAGACAACUCUGAUACAACACAUAUAUCACAACCAACAAGUGCAGAAUCAUUUUCCAGUCAAGAUUUGGAUAUGUGUGUCAUUCAAUUUCAAUCUGGAGAAGGUGCUAGAACAAGUCAAAAGUCGGCCCCGCAACCAGUCGUGGCCCAACCCAACAACAUUCCUUCCUCCUCUGCUCUCUUCUCUGCUCUGCUCCGCUCCCGACGACGGCGACGGCACGGAGGCACCGGAUGGCGGGCAAGGGCGAAUGCGCGUCGCCUUCAAGUUGGGGCUGCUGUGCUCCACGGCCGGCAUGGCCUCUCCUCCGUCGCUGGUGCUGGAACUGGAAGCAAGCGUCGCAGGCUCAGUAGUUUGCAGCUACCAACAGCCUAUUUACCAUCGAGUUACUUUUGAUUCCUGGAUGCAGGUGCCGUUGUCCAUCCCUGCAUCCAGCCAGGGGAUGGCCGACGCGGCCCUCCACGCGGUGCAACGGGUGUUGGGCAAGGCACUAGCCCCCUUUGCGGAUGGCGUGCUGGAGGCGUGGGCGGACGGCAGGAACUUUGGGCUCAACAUCGGGGCCCUCAGCGCGGAACUGCUGCAGGUGCAGGCCACACUUGAAACAGCUGCCACCAAGGAUCUUGCCGGCCGGCCGGCUACGGAGAAGCUGCUGCAGAACCUGCGGGACUCGGUGCAUGAUGCCGAGGACUUGCUGGACGAGCUGGAUUACUUUCGCAUCCACGACGAGCUCCAUGGCACGUACGAUGCUGCCGACCAGCACGGCAAUGGUGUCAUCCGUGACCUCGCCCGCGAUGCUUGCCACACCAUCAAAGCUCUUGGCAAACUGGUCAAUUGUUUCCCUUGGCAGCGCGCUGAGCUCCAGCAGAGGUCACUCGGUGAUUCGUUCUCGGCGCCAGACGCCAACCGGGAGGUCAGUGGAUGCAUGCCCAACCUCGGUAAACUUCUCCUGUCCUCAUGUUCCCCACAUCCACGUGUCGGUGGUGGUGAUGAAGAUAGUGCCAAUGCGCAAGAAACACCAAUGCCUGAGUUUAAUAGGGUUGAUUUCUCUCGAAGGAUGAAGCAAACUGUAGAGCAACUAAAGCUGGGGAGUGAGAAGGUUGACAAGAUUCUGAUACAUUGUUGCCCUAGAGCUGCCCUAGACAUUGCCCAGCAUCGUCUCCUCACCACACCUCAGAGUGCAGAACCAAAAUUGUAUGGGAGGGACCGUGUCAUGAAUAGCAUCAUACAUGAUAUCACUGAGGGUCAAUACUGUGACAAGGGUCUAACUGUGCUUCCGGUUAUUGGUCCGGGGGGAAUUGGGAAGACAACUCUGAUACAGCACAUAUAUAACAACCAGCAAGUGCGGAACCAUUUUCCGGUCAGGAUUUGGAUAUGUGUGUCGUUCAAUUUCAACCUGGGUAAGGUGCUAGAAGAGAUUGAAAAAUAUACCACUCCAGUUGAAGGUGAAAAAAAGCAUGUUCGACCAGAAGAGCUGAUUGAACAAAGAUUAAAAACCAAAAGAUUCUUACUUGUAUUGGAUGAUAUCUGGAAGAUUAGUAAUGGAGAUGAGUGGAAAAAUCUUUUGUCGACAGUAGGUCAAUCAGAAGAAAAGGGUUCCAUGAUUCUAGUCACAACUCGGCAAAAAGAAAUAGCAGACCAGGUUAAGAAAUCUGAAGAGCCAAAAGAACUGAACGGUUUAGAACCUGAAGAGUUUAGGAAGUUAUUCCUUGUAUAUGUCUUUGAUGCAGAGCAAUAUCCAAGGGAUAAACUUCAUUUGUGUGAGAUUGGAGAUAAGAUCAUGGAAAAACUGAAGUGCUCCCCUCUUGCAGCAAAGACUGUUGGUAGAUUACUCAGGACAAACCUUAGUUUGCCUCAUUGGAUAAGUGUCCUAGAAAGUAAAGAAUGGUUGAAGCAGACCAAUGACAAUUGGAUUAUGCCUGCCUUGGAGCUUAGCUAUGUCUUUCUCCCUUUCCACCUGCAACAAUGUUUUUCCUAUUCUGCAUUAUUUCCUGAAGAUUACCCAUUCAGAAGCCGUGAGCUCAUCAGCCUGUGGAUCGGACUAGAUAUUUUGAUACCUGAUAGUCAAAAUCAAACACUUGAAGACAUAGGUUUCAGAAAUUUAAAGGAGUUAGUCAUCCAUGGAUUUUUCAGAGAAGAGAAAAUUGAUGGUGAUCCGUGUUAUGUUAUGCAUGACCUACUGCAUGAUUUGGCAGUGAAGGUUGCAUCUCAUGAUUGUCUUAGUUUACGUCUCCCUAAUGUUGCAUCAGUAGAAAUUCAGCCAACCACCCGCCACUUGUCUAUAAGCACAGAGGACUUAGGUGAAUAUGAUGUAGUGUCUGGUGAAAAAUUAAAGAGUGAAUUGGAAGAAAUGAAGACAAUAUUGACAAUUGGACAUUUACAAACAUUGAUGUUAUUUGGAGAAAUGGAUGAAAGUUUUGCCAAGAUAUUUGGUGAUUUUUUUGGGGAAACAAAUGCUCUUCGUGUUCUUUAUUUGCCCCACCUGAUGUACCCCAUGGAGUCUGUUUUACAUAACUUUUCAAGACUUGUCCACCUACGAUGCCUAUGUCUAGGAACAUGGAAGAGACAGAUGCAAUUACCACCUAACAUCUCUAAAUUUUAUCAUUUAAGGGUUCUAGAUCUUAAGAGGUGGGGUGGCAGUGGUGAUUCUCCCGAAGACAUGUGCAACCUUGCAAAAUUGUGCCACUAUUAUACCCCAAGAGAUGCUGGGCUUCAUUAUGAUAUUUAUAAUGUGGGAAAACUUAAACUCUUAGAAAAGUUGAAGGUAUUUCAUGUCAAUAAAAAGAAUGAAGGAUUUGAACCAAAGCAGCUAGAGCAUUUGACCAAGCUAUGGGAGCUUAGCAUCUACAACCUUGAGAAAAUACAUACAGAAGACGAGGCAGCUCAAGCAAAGCUAAUUGAGAAAAAAAUGCUUGAGGAGGCUAACAUUGGACUGGGAUAA
rnacentral:rRNA from 1 species